GACCGCCAGCCCAGGCUCCUCUUGCCUUUAUUUAUUUUUCUGACACUGUACGGAGAUGGGCCCGGGGCAGGGGCCGCCGGGCUCAGGCGGGAGCCGCGAGGCCCGGGCCGCAGCUGUCUGCGUGCGGGAGCCGCAGCGGCCGCCUCCCCUCCCGGGCUGUGGACGCACCGGGUUAUUCCUGGCAGCGCCUCCCCGAACAGAAGUUACUAGGAGGAGUGCGCGGCGAGGGCGGACGGGGGGAGAGGCGGAGGGAGGGAGGGAGGAAGAGGGAGAGACUCAGCCAACGACGUCAUCGGAUCCCCCAGCGCGUCCCAGGGAGGGAGGCUGAACCAGAAAAACCAGUCUGGAGCCAGUGAGCGAGAGAGGGAUGUGCGGCGCGCGGGGCGACGGGGGAGGGAGGCGGUCGGGAGGGCAGGGCCGGGCCCCACGGCUGCCGCUGCGGGCGGGGAGAUCGCGGCCGCGCACUCGCUCGGUCGGAGCGGGGAACUCCCCGGAGAGCUGGUCUCUACUUGUCAUGCAAAAAAACUUGGGCAUCUCUAGGAGCCUGAGAAUUUCCUUUAAGGAUGUGGAAACGUCCUCCGUCCCCACCCCUUCCCCAUUUCCCAGAGAAUCGUUGUCUGCCUUCCUGACGAACGGAAUUGUAUAAUUAGUAGUGCCCUUAGAUUUGGAACCAGUACUCCGGAUCCCUGGCCUCUCCUCGCCCCCUGCCUCUACUCACAAUUAUGUUAUCGGUCAAGAAAAGCAAAAUCAGACUGUGGCUCCCGGCUGGGUUUCUGGAGCUUUGUAGGGUUUUACUAGCACUUUCCGUGCCCCUGCGGGCGCGCGAACUAUUCACGUGCUCGAAACGCCCGGAUUACCUUCCCUGAGGUCACUCACCAGGGUGCCCCCGGCACCCCCAGUUCGGGGACCGCGGCCCGCCCUCGCCAGGGGAUUCAAAUAGGUGUGGGCAGCGGCGCGAAGAGCAGCUGCCGGUUUCCUGGUGGGCCGCGCUGGAACCUCGGGGCGAGCUGCCACCUUCAGCCUGUGCGCUUCCCUCUCCACGGAAGGGACCGGAGUUGAAAUCACAACCAACCCUGGGAGAGCGGGGCCGGGAGGCGGGGGAAUCCCAGGCGAGUGGGAGCCGAAGCUCUGGGCUUCCUCCCCGGCCGGGCGACACCCGGGGGACACCGGGGCUCUCUCGGGCCGUUACCCUGCCUAUGUGGACUGGUGUGCACCCUCGGGGGAGGUUCCUAGGGUGCCACGGUGCCCGAGCGCGACGAGUGACUGCUGGGGAGGGGGGCCGGGUCCCGGAGCGCCUCCUCCGGGUGGUCUCCCCCCCAGCGGGGACCGCGCGCAGCACCUCGCGGGCGCCCCAGCCCCCGCACCCUGCGGAGCAGAGCCGAGCGCCCAGGACGCCGCGGGCCCCAGCGGUCCUCCCCACCCCCUGGCCGCGCCGCCGCCCUGCCCGGGGCGGAGUAAACAAGAGACGCGCAAGAUUUGACCUGGCGCGACCCGGCUUUCUGGCCGGGGUUCCCCCUGAGCAGGUGACUCCGUGGGAGGGGUGGAAAUGAGUCUCUGGAAUUCCGGGCCAAAGACAAUAACUGUGGUUCUGCUUUUAAAGCAGGUAUUUCACCAGCAACUGCGGAAUGUUUUGUGUCUCCAGUUUCAAAUUUCGCGGAAAGGGACCAAAUGUGAGGACAUAUAAAAUAUCCCCUUCUCUUUUCAUUAAAAAUGAGUGCAUUACAAAGGAAGGGCAGCCCCUUAAUGCCUGCGAGAAUAGCGCUGCUGGUUUCGUUUUUGUUUUGUUUUGUUUUGUUUUUCAUUCUGACCCACAAUCAGUGUAUUUUUGAGGUCCCUAUGCAAUGGCGACGGUGCCGUGAAGGGCAACUCAGCAAAAUAAAGCGGUGAUACAUUUUUUAACCGAUUUUUUUCUCAGAGGAGAAAAAUCUGAACAAUUUGGCCUAAGUUUCACUUUGUCCUUCUCUUAGGUUGAUCUCAUUUAAAUUCAGGGCCUACUUCCACUUAAGCAACUUCUUCUUUCAUUGUAUAGGUUCUUUAAUAUCCAACCUUUUUAAACUUAACUUGAAGCCUUUAAUUUAAAAAACUGUCCCAAUCAUCAUUUUCUUUUCAAUGUAUGCAGUUGCAUUUUAAACAUCCAUUUAACACACAAAAUGUGAUUUUUGAAAUUUUUUUCACUUUCAAACCCACCUGCUACAUACUCCCAGAGAGCGUUUUAUUUAAUUGCUUAAUAGAGAAGAUUAAGCAGUUUCUUUAAGAAUCCAAUUUCCCUUCAACAAGCACAACAGCAGCUGCCCAAGCUCCCAGAAACUAAGCAAAGGCAAGUAGCAGGCAGCGUUUUGCUUCACUAGAAUGAAUGUUAGUUGAAACCUUAAAUACCUCUUUAAAAGACUAGAUUAAAGAGAAUAAUGGGAAUAUUAAGAUACUCCGGUAGUUAGUUAAAAUAUUUUUUAAGGAAAACCAGGCAGAUAUACAUCUAUUUUGAUGAUUUGAUCCCACCUUCAAAGAGGAUCCCUGAAAAGAGUUUUAGUCACAAUUUGACAAAUUUUAAAUAAUUACUUUGUUUCAGAGUCAUGAGGAUGGAAAGAAGAUAGCCUGCGUUGAGUUGAAGUAAAGUAAAAAUAUUAUGAAUAUGUGUAACUAGGUGACAUCCUCUCUGCUGGGAAGAAUCCUUUUUUUUUUUUUUUUUUUUUUUCUGGUGACAGGUUCUUGCUCCAUCACCCAGGCUGGAGUGCAGUGGCAUGAUCUUGGCUCACUGCAGCCUCUCCCUUUCAGGCUCAAGCAAUCCUCCCACCUCAGCCUCCCGAGUGGAGGGGGAGCCACUGCAGAUCUGGAGCAAAUCAGCACCAGCCACUCCAGAGCCUGACCUACAUAGGACUCAGAAAGCAUUGUCUAUUGUGAUUGAUUAUUCCUGUGUUCAGUCCCAAUGGCCUAUUGAUUGGGGGUUUCUCUCCAAAAGGCUGCAUGGCUUUUCUUCUCUAAGUGAAUCUCCUUUAUAACCCAUAUUUUAUGUCUAUAUACCAAACAUGCUAUCCAUAUUUAGUCAAUGUCCAGUUGCUUGCAUGUAAGGGCAAUAGAGUAAUCAGAAAACUCUUCCCAGAAAGCCCCCGAAGACAAAACUAGUACUGGUAGAAAACUGGGCAUGCAGCUCUAAGAAACUCUAUGGGAAGUGAGGCUGGGUGGGGCACAGCUGCCCCAGCCUGGCACCCAUAUGGAGCAUCAGCAAGGAAGUAGGAACUUUCUUUUCAUCAUGCAUCCUUCUUAUCACUUCUCAGUUUCAAAGGGAAAGAAAAUUUGGUAAUCUGCAUUUUGAGACAUUAAGAAAAUAAAAUAAUUAAUGGCUUCAUGGUUAUAUGGCAUUUUUCAGAGUAUUGUCAGAAAAUCAUUUCGAACUGAAAUUUUCAUUCAAAAAUAUUUAUUGAAUGCCGGCUAUGUGCUGAAGAUUCUUAAGAUACAUCAGUGAACAAAUCAAAGUUCCCUGCUUUCUUGGAGCUUGCAUUCCAGCGGGAGGAGAGGAUUUGGAGGAAGAAUGGGAUAGACAAUAAAUGUAAGUAAUAAAUUAUAUAGGACUUUGAAAGGUAAAAUGUUUGGGGGAAAAACAUAAAAUAGGGUAAAGGAUAUAGGUGGGGUGAGGGUUGUCCUGAUGCUGUAUUAAAUAGGAACAUCAGAGUAAGACUUGUUGAAAAGGGAGAUUUCUGCCAUGGUUUGAAGGAAAUACCUGGAGAUAUCUGGAGGACAGAGCUUUUCACAUGGAGGGAACAGCCAAGAUACAGCUCCAAUACCUGGAAUUUUUAUAGACAUCAAUGGGAAUGGUGUGGCUAGAAUAAAAUGAGACAGCCAGUGAACAGAAGGCCUCUCAGGUCACCGUAAGAAUUCCAGAAAAGCUUCAUAAAAGGCAAAUUUUGGGCCUUUAUCACUCAGCCCCAUGGAAUCUGAAUCUUUGUGGGCCCAGGACUCUGCAUUUUUAACAUGUAAAGCAAUUGUUACUUAUGUAUUCUAAAGCACAAGACCUCCUGCCACAGAGCAUGGGACCUGAUAUAUCCAGGCAGGAGAACUGGGUACCAGGAGACACUGUACAUGAAGUUUCCAGAACCAGCCAUGUCCAUCUUACUAAUCAAGACUCUCUCUGUUAAAUCUGCAACUCAAAUGACUUUAAGGAAAAAUGGAUUUCAUUGAUUCACAUAACCAUCACUCAAGGACUAACUUUCAACAUAGUGAGAUCCUGAGGCUCAAAUAUUAUUACCCGGGUUCCAUGAACUGCUUCCUCUGACAUGAGAUCUAACAAGGCUAAAGACUAAAAUGCAGCUGUUUACAGCGUAAGUAGGAGGCCGUCCCGUGCAGUGCAAAAUCAACAGAGAGGAGACAGUCCUAUGCCUUCGAGAGACAGUCUGCUGAUACUGUCAUGAUGUCUAGUGACAGGCCAGAGAUCAAAACCCAACACCCUCAUUUACCUGACAGUGAUUUGGCCAAUCCCUUAACAUCUCUAAGAGCUUCAUUUUUCUACAAAAUUGAGACAAUAGUAUUUGUUUCAUAGUGUUACUGUCAGGGUUAAAUGUUAUACAUUAAGCAUUUAAUAUAUGCUGCUUGUUUAUCUAAAUAUUCAUGGUCAGGCACUAACUUCUUAUGUGACUCUGAGCAAUGCAUUCAUCUCUGUACCUGUUUCCUCAUCCAUAAAUUGGGAGUUGAACAAGG
rnacentral:lncRNA from 1 species